rnacentral:rRNA from 1 species
UACCGGAUAAAAAAGCUACUUUUCGCAUGAAAGAAAGUUUUAAAAAAGGCGGCGUAAGCUGUCGCUAAAGGAUGGACCUGCGAUGCAUUAGCUAGUUGGUAAGGUAACGGCUUACCAAGGCGAUGAUGCAUAGCCGAGUUGAGAGACUGAUCGGCCACAUUGGGACUGAGACACGGCCCAAACUCCUACGGGAGGCAGCAGUAGGGAAUUUUCCACAAUGGACGCAAGUCUGAUGGAGCAACGCCGCGUGAGUGAAGAAGGUUUUCGGAUCGUAAAGCUCUGUUGUUGGUGAAGAAGGAUAGAGGUAGUAACUGGCCUUUAUUUGACGGUAAUCAACCAGAAAGUCACGGCUAACUACGUGCCAGCAGCCGCGGUAAAU